rnacentral:rRNA from 1 species
AGGGCACCACCAGGAGUGGAGCCUGCGGCUUAAUUUGACUCAACACGGGGAAACUUACCAGGUCCAUACAUAGUAAGGAUUUGACAGAUUGCGAGCUCUUUCUUGAUUCUAUAGGUGGUGGUGCAUGGUCGUUCUUAGUUGGUGGAGCGAUUUGUCUGGUUAAUUCCGUUAACGAAUGAGACCUCUGCUUGCUAACUAGCUAUGCGGAGCACUCCCUCCGCGACCAGCUUCUUAGAGGGACUAUGGCCGUUUAGGCCACGGAAGUUUGAGGCA